ACGGCCGCGGUAUCCUAACCGUGCAAAGGUAGCGUAAUCACUUGUCCUUUAAAUAAGGACUAGUAUGAAAGGCUAAACGAGGUCCUAUCUGUCUCUCACAGAUAAUCAGUGAAAUUGAUCCCCUCGUGCAAAAGCGAGAAUAUAAAUAUAAGACGAGAAGACCCUGUGGAACUUAAAAUAAAACAUCAACCGACACCCAACACACCCCAAAUGGGAUACAAACUACUAAAUACCUGAUGUACAUUUUUGGUUGGGGCGACCUCGGAGUAAAACAGAACCUCCGAAAAAAGAACACACUCCUUACUUAGACAAACAACUCAAAGUGCCCACAGCAAAAUGAUCCAAUUUAUUUGAUCAACGAACCAAGCUACCCCAGGGAUAACAGCGCAAUCCCGUCACAGAGUCCCUAUCGAAGACGGAGUUUACGACCUCGAUGUUGGAUCAGGACAUCCUAAUGGUGCAACAGCUAUUAAGGGUUCGUUUGUUCAACGAUUAAAGUCCCACGUGAUCUGAGUUCAAAACCGGAGAG
rnacentral:rRNA from 1 species